GAAGUUGUAUGAAAGAUGUGUGAUUGCUUGUGCCAACUAUCCUGAGUACUGGAUACGGUAUAUUUUAUGCAUGCAAGCAAACAAUAGUAUAGAUCUUGCCAAUAAUGCCCUUGCUCGGGCAAGCCAAGUUUUUGUCAAGAGACGACCAGAGAUCCAUUUAUUUGCUGCUCGGUUCAAGGAGCAAAAUGGGGAUAUUGCUGGUGCUCGAGCAU
rnacentral:misc_RNA from 1 species